CCUACGGGUGGCAGCAGUCGAGAAUCAUUCACAAUGGGGGAAACCCUGAUGGUGCGACGCCGCGUGGGGGAAUGAAGGUCUUCGGAUUGUAAACCCCUGUCAUGUGGGAGCAAAUUAAAAAGAUAGUACCACAAGAGGAAGAGACGGCUAACUCUGAGCCAGCAGCCGCGGUAAUACAGAGGUCUCAAGCGUUGUUCGGAAUCACUGGGCGUAAAGCGUGCGUAGGCUGUUUCGUAAGGCGUGUGUGAAAGGCGCGGGCUCAACCCGCGGACGGCACAUGAUACUGCGAGACUAGAGUAAGGGAGGGGGAACCGGAAUUCGCGGUGUAGCAGUGAAAUGCGUAGAUAUCGAGAGGAACACUCGUGGCGAAGGCGGGUUCCUGGACAUUAACUGACGCUGAGGCACGAAGGCCAGGGGAGCGAAAGGGAUUAGAUACCCUAGUAGUC
rnacentral:rRNA from 1 species